GUGGGGAAUAUUCCGCAAUGGACGAAAGUCUGACGGAGCAACGCCGCGUGAGUGAUGAAGGUUUUCGGACUGUAAAGCUCUGUUGUUUAGGACGAAAGUGCCUGUUGCAAAUAGUUACAGGUAUUGACGGUACUGAACGAGGAAGCCAUGGCUAACUACGUGCCAGCAGCCGCGGUAAUACGUAGGUGGCAAGCGUUGUCCGGAAUUAUUGGGCGUAAAGAGCAUGUAGGCGGGAAUCUAAGUCUGUUGUGAAAAUGCGGGGCUCAACCCCGUAUUGCGAUGGAAACUGGGUUUCUUGAGUGCAGGAGAGGAAAGGGGAAUUCCCAGUGUAGCGGUGAAAUGCGUAGAUAUUGGGAGGAACACCAGUGGCGAAGGCGCCUUUCUGGACUGUGUCUGACGCUGAGAUGCGAAAGCCAGGGUAGCGAACGGGAUUAGAAACCCGGGUAGUCC
rnacentral:rRNA from 1 species